AAGAGGGAAGAGCCCAGCACCGAAUCCUGCGGUUUGCGCCGUUUGGACCUGUGGUGUUUAGGUGGUCUUUUGUACUUUGUGACCUGUCCCAAGUCCGCUUGAUUGCGGCUCUCGGCCCAGAGAGGGUGUUAGGCCCGUAGGGAUGGGAAGCUUGGUGCCCGAGGCCACCUUGGAGUCGGGUUGCUUGUGAAUGCAGCCCAAAGCGGGUGGUAAACUCCAUCCAAGGCUAAAUACUUACACGAGACCGAUAGUUAACAAGUACCGCGAGGGAAAGUUGAAAAGAACUUUGAAGAGAGAGUUCAAGAGUACGUGAAACCGCUCAGAGGUAAACGGGUGGCGCUGAAGUGAUGCCGGGAAUUCAGCCGGUUGGCGCGUUGGUGUGUCGGUAUGAGUUUUUAUGCUCAGCCUUGUCGAUCGUCCGACGUGUUGACUGGUGCACUUUCCCGGUGUCUGCACCACGACCGGCCACGCCGGAGGCCUUUCGAUCGGGGUUGGUAGCGCAGUCUUCGGAUUGCGUGAUAGCCCUGGUCACUGUGCUUCCGGUAGGCCGAGGACGCGAUACAAGCCCAUCCGGGCACGCAUGUUUCUCGCGUAGUUUUCAUGCCGGUCGGACUACCUGGUAGACCGACUGGUUUUGAUGCUUCGUCUGGAAAUCUCUGUGAUUUGUAUCAAUAGUCUGUGGUGUUAAGUAGGUUACCCACCUGACCCGUCUUGAAACACGGACCAAGGAGUACAACAUGUGCGCGAGUCAUUGGGUCUUACGAAACCCUAAGGCGAAAUGAAAGUAAAGGCUGGAGCAAUCCGGCUGAGGUGUGAUCCCGUGUCGACAUCGUUCGGCUGGGCGCAACACCGGCCCGUCUUACAGUAUUCUUUACUGGGGCGGAGCUUGAGCGCAUAUGCUGUGACCCGAAAGAUGGUGACCUAUACUUGCGCAGGUUGAAGCCAGAGGAAACUCUGGUGGAGGACCGUAGCGAUUCUGACGUGCAAAUCGAUCGUCAGACGUGAGUAUAGGGGCGAAAGACUAAUCGAACCAUCUAGUAGCUGGUUCCCUCCGAAGUUUCCCUCAGGAUAGCUGGCACUCGUUUAUUUCAGUUUUAUCCGGUAAAGCGAAUGAUUAGAGGUAUUGGGGACGAAAUGACCUCAACCUAUUCUCAAACUUUUAAUGGGUAAGAAGUCGAACUUUCUUAAUUGAAGUUUGACGUUGAAUGAGAGUGCCCAGUGGGCCUUUUUUGGUAAGCAGAACAGGCGCUGUGGGAUGAACCAAACGUCUGGUUAAGGUGCCUAACGCGACGCUCAUGAGAUACCACAAAAGGUGUUGGUUGAUCUAGACAGCAGGACCGUGGCCAUGGAAGUUGGAAUCGGCUAAGGAGUGUGUAACAACUCACCUGCCGAAUCAACCAGCCCUGAAAAUGGAUGGCGCUUGAGUGUCGGACCUAUACCGGACCGGCAAGGAAAGCUAGGACUAGUAAUCCUUGUCGAGUAGGAGGGACACCGUGAUGAGCGUGGAAGCCUCUACUGUGAAGUAGGGUGGA
rnacentral:rRNA from 1 species